rnacentral:lncRNA from 1 species
CCAUGUAAGUGUCCGACUUCUAUGGGUAUCCACUCAGGAUCAGCCUAGAACAGUCCUCUUUAGUGUUGAUCUUUUUUUUCAAAAAUAAUCACCCUGUGAACCUGAACGAAGUCUGGAUCGUGAUUCACUCUUUGAUCUUUUUCUUGAUCUUUUUCUUUUUUCUUCUCUUGCUCUUCUUUUUUUGAUUAUGAAGCAACCAAGGUCUAAAAACUAGCAAGAAAGAGGGGAUGCCCAAGCUCCUCUUGGGUGUGGAGAUGGAGGAUGCCCAACCUUUGGGCAUUGGAACUAGAAGGGAGAAUUAAGGAAGAGGUGUGGGGACUCU